UUAAUACAAAAAUUUCUAUCAGGAAUGUCACUUGAAAAAACAGAAAAGUUUGAUGGGGUUGAUAUCAAAGAGGAGAUGACAGACGCCCAACCAGUUAACCCUACUUCAACCUGGUCAUCAUCAGUAUGUACUUGUAAAUGUGAGGAAGAGAACGGAAAUAACAACCUGAAAGCUGAAGCCGUGCUAUGUAGUCAGUUUGAAGCUGGUUCAGAACACCUCAACCAAGUUCCAGCCACUGGAAGUGCCCAGGACAGUAGUAGCCACAAGAGGCGUAAGAUGUUAGCUCCCGAGAAGCCCUCCAAGCAAUCUAAUCUGAAACAGUUCAAGGCCUCGACCACACAGUUUAAAGGCCCCAACAGCACUACCCAGCCUGUGGACACCCUCGGACCUCAAUUCAAGAGCCAGGACAACACAAGCUUAACGUCGGAGGAGUUCAUGCGGCGCACUUUGACUGAGAUGGCCGAAAUGAAGAAACUGCUCCUGACCCUUGGCAGCCAGCAAACAGCUCCUACUCCACCCAGUGCCCCACAGCAGCAACCUGGUCUGGACAGAAGGCCUAUCGUCAGAGUGAGUCAGCGAGACGCAGCCCCUCUCCAGAGUGGUGAUUGGGUACAAGAUGCUGACUCAAUCAAAGCACUGAGUGUCAGAUCUGUCACCAGGAUAGAGGAUUUAAUAGAACGAUCUAUUACCCCUUAUCACAGGCUGAAGUGGUCAAAUCCGGAGAAAACACACGUGGAGUGCUCACUGUGCCCGCAACAAAAAUUCAAAGUACCUGCUGAACUGAACAAUUUUCACCCAGAGAAGGGAAGGGUUGGAAGGCACAAGGAUUUCAGCAACCUCAUCAGUCACUACAAAGCUCACUUGUCCAAGACAGUUGGACACCAACAAAAGGUUAAUGAAGUUGUGAGGCUGCAGAGGGGGCCGGGGGGAGGAGGAAGACCUCAGCCUUGAUGGUCUUUGUGGAUUCAACACGGUGAUGAGCCGGCUUGAAGCCAUAUAUAGAGGGGACGCUCUGGCAUCCUUCCCAAUGACCAUGAUGGGUCAGUCCAACCGGAAGGUGUUGAUAGGAACCUGAGAAAGAAACGUUGCGUGGAGACCGACCAUUAGGACCAAUCUGAUUGUCAGAUAGAUUUUUGAUGUGAUUGAAUGAGGGCGAAGUUCACCAAACUGUACAUAAAUAUCUUCCCAAGAGACUGAAAUCUAAUCUUACUUCUAUUAUUAUUAUGUUUGAGGUUAUGUUUUAUUAUGUCUGAUGAAAAUGUUUAAUUUUAUUAUGUUUCUGAUGAAAAGGUUAUUCGAUCUGCUAGAAACUAUGUUAGGACUUGGGAGUACAACUAUUCAUAAUCAGGUUCUGUAAAAAGAGAGUUCUCCGACACCUGCAUGCACUCUCGCUGGUGAAAUGAACAAUUAAGUCCAAGAAAUGUUCAUUAGCUUGUUCUGUAAAAUGUUAAUACUAUGUAUCAGUACUCA